UACGAAGGGGGCUAGCGUUGCUCGGAAUUACUGGGCGUAAAGCGCACGUAGGCGGCUUUCUAAGUCGGGGGUGAAAUCCUGGAGCUCAACUCCAGAACUGCCUUCGAUACUGAGAGUCUUGAGUUCGGGAGAGGUGAGUGGAACUGCGAGUGUAGAGGUGAAAUUCGUAGAUAUUCGCAAGAACACCAGUGGCGAAGGCGGCUCACUGGCCCGAUACUGACGCUGAGGUGCGAAAGCGUGGGGAGCAAACAGG
rnacentral:rRNA from 1 species